rnacentral:miRNA from 1 species
UAUACCUAAGGUUUUAAAAAUAUAACACAAUCCAUAUAUAUACAUACACACACACACACACACACACACACAUGUGUGUGUGUGUGUGUGUAAUGUAAUUCCAAUAAAAAUA